GCGCCGCGCGCCCGGCCCGGCCCGCCGCCAUGUUCCACAGCAGCACGCAGUGGCGGCACUGGACCUUCCGCGGCGAGGAGGAGCUGGCGCGGCGCCGGGCCGAGGCCAACCGCAAGUUCUGCAGCAGGGCGGUGGCGAGCGGGAAGGUCCAGCAGAACGACCCUGUCCUGUUGGAGCCGCAGGAGGAGCUGGCGAUAUGCAAGUACUACGAGAAGCGGCUGUUGGAUUUCUGCGGCGUCUUCAAGCCUGCCAUGCCGAGAUCCGUGGUGGGAACAGCCUGCAUGUAUUUCAAACGCUUUUACCUCAACAACUCGGUGAUGGAGUAUCAUCCUCGGAUAAUAAUGCUCACAUGUGCAUUUUUGGCCUGUAAAGUAGAUGAAUUUAAUGUGUCCAGUGCACAGUUUGUUGGUAAUCUGCGAGAAGGACCUGUUGGACAGGAAAAGGCCCUUGAACAAAUACUGGAAUAUGAACUACUGCUUAUUCAGCAACUGAACUUCCAUCUUAUCGUCCACAAUCCAUACAGACCAUUUGAGGGAUUUCUGAUUGAUUUGAAGACUCGUUAUCCGAUGCUGGAGAAUCCUGAAGUUUUGAGGAAAACAGCUGAUGACUUCCUCAAUCGAGUGGCUCUCACAGAUGCGUAUCUGCUCUUCACUCCCUCACAAAUAGCUCUCACUGCCAUAUUAUCUAGUGGUUCCAGAGCAGGAAUUAAUAUGGAAAAUUAUUUAUCAGAAAACCUUAUGCUGAAAGAAAACAGAACUUCCCUAACCAAGCUACUAGAUGGCAUGAAAUGCAUGAAAAAUCUCAUAAAGAAGUAUGAACUGCCAAGGCCUGAAGAGGUGACUGCUCUGAAGCAGAAGUUGGAGAAGUGUCACAGUUCGGAGCUGUCACUUAAUACAAACCCGAAGAAGAGGAAAGGUUAUGAAGAUGAUGAAUGUGUUGCAAAGAAACCUAAAAUGGAUGAGGAAGAGUGGACUGAUGAUGAUCUUGUGGACUCAGUAUAACUGUGAGAAUGGAAUCCUGCCACUGCAGAAACUACUGCUUGGUGGCAACUGUGAAUCUGACUGCUACUAGUUCCUUACUCAGAUGUCAUGAGUUUUAACAUGUACUUUCUCAGCCUGAGAGACACAGGUACCAGUGGAGGCAUAUGAACAAGGUAAUGCUGUUCUGAGGAUUCAAGCUAAAAAGUGACCCUGCAUGAACAUCUCAAGGUACAUCAUGUGUGCAGACACUGUAAAGAAACUUCCACAGCAGCCAAAGUUAGCCAGUUUCCAGAAGGAGUGGAUCUGCA